UCGCUCCUACCGAUUUCGAGUGAUCCGGUGAACCUUUUGGACUGCCUCGGCUUCCGGGGCGGAAAAUCAAGUAAACCUUAUCACUUAGAGGAAGGAG
rnacentral:rRNA from 1 species